GCCUGGGUGGCUCAGUUGGUUAAACGUCUGACUUUGGCUCAGGUCAUGAUCUUACAGUUCAUGGGUUUGAACCCCAUGUCAGGCU
rnacentral:tRNA from 1 species